rnacentral:rRNA from 1 species
CGUGUAGGCGGUCUUUUAAGUCUGAUGUGAAAGCCCCGGGCUCAACCUGGGAAGUGCAUUGGAUACUGGGAGACUUGAGUACGGGAGAGGGCAGUGGAAUUCCCAGUGUAGGAGUGAAAUCCGUAGAUAUUGGGAGGAACACCGGUGGCGAAGGCGGCUGCCUGGACCGAUACUGACGCUGAGACGCGAAAGCGUGGGGAGCAAACAGGAUUAGAUACCCUGGUAGUCCACGCCGUAAACGAUGAGCACUAGGUGUUGCGGGUAUUGACCCCUGCAGUGCCGCAGCUAACGCAUUAAGUGCUCCGCCUGGGAAGUACGGCCGCAAGGCUAAA